GUACACAAAAAUGCACAUAUUGUGAGCUCGAUGAGUAGGGCGGGACACGUGGUAUCCUGUCUGAAUAUGGGGGGACCAUCCUCCAAGGCUAAAUACUCCUGACUGACCGAUAGUGAACCAGUACCGUGAGGGAAAGGCGAAAAGAACCCCGGCGAGGGGAGUGAAAAAGAACCUGAAACCGUGUACGUACAAGCAGUGGGAGCCUCUUAAUGGGGUGACUGCGUACCUUUUGUAUAAUGGGUCAGCGACUUAUAUUCUGUAGCAAGGUUAACCGAAUAGGGGAGCCGAAGGGAAACCGAGUCUUAACUGGGCGCUAAGUUGCAGGGUAUAGACCCGAAACCCGGUGAUCUAGCCAUGGGCAGGUUGAAGGUUGGGUAACACUAACUGGAGGACCGAACCGACUAAUGUUGAAAAAUUAGCGGAUGACUUGUGGCUGGGGGUGAAAGGCCAAUCAAACCGGGAGAUAGCUGGUUCUCCCCGAAAGCUAUUUAGGUAGCGCCUCGUGAAUUCAUCUCCGGGGGUAGAGCACUGUUUCGGCAAGGGGGUCAUCCCGACUUACCAACCCGAUGCAAACUGCGAAUACCGGAGAAUGUUAUCACGGGAGACACACGGCGGGUGCUAACGUCCGUCGUGAAGAGGGAAACAACCCAGACCGCCAGCUAAGGUCCCAAAGUCAUGGUUAAGUGGGAAACGAUGUGGGAAGGCCCAGACAGCCAGGAUGUUGGCUUAGAAGCAGCCAUCAUUUAAAGAAAGCGUAAUAGCUCACUGGUCGAGUCGGCCUGCGCGGAAGAUGUAACGGGGCUAAACCAUGCACCGAAGCUGCGGCAGCGACACUAUGUGUUGUUGGGUAGGGGAGCG
rnacentral:rRNA from 1 species